GUGCCCCUGCCUCCUCGCUCCACUCGGCUCUGCCCUCGACCGGUACUGGGGUGGUGAGGGGGAGUGGGGAUAAUAGAGCGCUGGUGCCCAAGCUGGUGUCCCCACUGCCUGAGUUGGACUGGUUGGAAUACGGCCCAGGGGUGCUGCGCUCGACAUGAAGUCUCUCUACCUCCUCACAAUCUUGCUGCCAAUGACUCACCACUGGAUAUUCAAAGGUGUAACGCUAAACGUCGACCCAAGUUCAGUUUUUGAAGGCGAUAAUCUGCAUCUGGAAUGCCUGUACACAAAAAUAUUUUCGAUUAAGGUCGUUACAUUUUACAAAGACAACAUACCGAUUACUUCAGGGGUGAAGGCAAACUCGGGAUAUCGCCACCACAUUAAAGUUCAUAGUUCAAACGACAGCGGAUCCUUCCAUUGUACUGCAGACAAAGAGGAAUCACCCCAUGUUUACGUUACGGUUCAAGAGCUCUUCUCCACGCCGACGCUAACGAUUGGACCGGCAACUGAGAUCUUCGAGGGGCAGCGGUUAAAGCUCGCUUGCCGUGUGGCACAGAAAGCGGGAAACAUUCGGCUCCAGUACUCCUUCUACAGGGACGGGAAACCUGUGAACUUCGAGCCCCGUAGCAUCAGGGAGCGCCUGGAGGCCACUUCGCUGCAUGUCUCGGGGACCUACCACUGUGUGGCCAAGGCUCCGAAACGCGGGGUACAGAAGAGCAGCGCCGGUGUUCACAUUUCAGUAAAAGAGGCGUUCUCCAAACCCAUGUUGAAGGUUGAGUCGGGUGCUCACCUGUUAACGGGGCAGAGGUUAAAACUGACCUGCGUGGUCCAAAUACUUCGCCCCAGUCUUUCUUUGAGGUACACGUUUUCCAAAGAUAGCCAAGCUCUCAGUGCUGCGCCAGAAGACAGCUCUUACAUUUUGGAGCAAGCUCGGAUGGACGAUUCAGGGGUUUACAUCUGUGAAGCGACGGCUGUCGACAGUAAGGUGAAGAAACUGAGUAACCAAGUUUUGGUCUCUGUCAGACGAAUCCCAGUGUCAAAACCGGAACUGAUUAUACAACCCGGAACCAAGUUGAUAGAGGGCGACACAGCCUCCAUAACCUGCUCAGUGUCCAACGGUUCCUCUCCAAUUACUUACACGUUCCAUAAAAACUUCAACAAGGAACUCCAUAGCGAGACGACCAACUUGGCCAGAAUUACUUACGGAAUCAUUAAAGUCAACAAAAGCUCGGAAGGGAAUUACAGUUGUAGCGUUGCAAAUGAUGAGACAGAGCCAUUCCUGCAGAGCAAUGUCGUGACAGUUGCGGUGAUAGUUCCCGUGGAUGGCGCUAUUCUGAUCUGGAAUACCAACAGUACGGAGAUUUCAGCCGGGGACCGCUUCCUUCUCCGAUGCCGGGUGAAUGUCGGCACCGAACCGUGUUUCCACUGGUACUUCAACAGCCAAAAGCUCGAAAUCAACAGCGAACUGUAUUACCUGAACAGCGAUGGGAGCGAGCUCGCUGUUAAUUCAUUCCAGCCAAGACAUGGAGGGCGAUACCAAUGUGUGGCGACCAACAGUGGCAUCAAUGGAGGGAUAUUUAACGCCAGCAGCAAUCUCAUCCAUGUCGCAUUGGCAGCACACAGCAACACAAUGGCAAAGGCAACAACAGCUCUUCCGCUUCUUCUGAUUAGCGCCGCCAUAGUUGCAUUGGCUUUCGUUAAGCUGCUAAAGAAGAGGCGAGGUAAUGCUGCUGGUGUUUGCACGUCACAGGGUGAGGGGACUGGAGAAAGACCCGGACCCUCCAGAGAAGAAACACCCACAAGCGAUUUCGGACAUCCCGUUGCAAGAUCAAGCCCGAGUGUUGCUGAUACCGAAACUGAUGCCGAUGUAUUUUAUGCUGUUGUCACGGUCACAAAGUCAACAAACGCUGGUACCAGUGGUGACACCUCCAGACAAAAUCAGCCGAAGCAGGAGGGCCAAGCCGACAAUUCGGUCAUCUAUGCCGCUCUUCGUCACGGGAAGAAUGAAGGCAAUUGGCGAAGAGACCAACUGGAUGAAGGGGACGUCUACGAGAAUCUUCUAAGGAACUAACAGCGAGGCUGGAAGGAGGGAGGAAUGCAUCGAUGGGGUGCCCUUGCUGCCCAACUCCCAAAUGAGAUUUUCAGCUGGCUUUUGACCAUCGGAAAGUUGAGAGACAUUACUCCCUGUCGGCGUGGUCUAAAUCAUGAGUGUGCCCUUGAAGUUGGAAUUGGCUCUAGUUACCUGAGGUUCAAGCGUCGACGAUGGCAAACUACUGAUUCAUGACUAUGCCGCUGAGUUGCAUUGAACAUUGAAUCAAGCAGAUCCAGCGAAUGAAUUGCAGGUGGAAUGGGGACUUGUGCUAGUUAAAAUUUGCAGCAGUUCGUAUGCUUGAUUUUUGUCUAAACUGAGCCCUAACAAUGCGCACAUUUGUUACCUUCAAGGGAGGAGGAAAUAAUAGGCGAGGAACAGAAUGGUAUCAUGUUGCCAUUUUUUCAUCGAAACUCAGAAGGGCGUACGGUGACUUCAGGAAGAUUGCUCAGGACACCUGGAUGGUGUAGCGGUAACCACCCUGGGCUAGUCAUCCCGGGCUCCAAGCUAACAUUCCUGGGUCAAGGCUUCGACUGUCCGAUGGUGGAAUUUUAAUUCAGCAGGAGCUUGCGAUGUUGGAGAAGUCGAAUGUGAUGAAGGCCAGCCAAUGGGGACAACAGAGGAUGUGGGGAAGUGAAAGUAUGCGUGAUGAGGUUCUCGACUCGAUUCUAAAUGCACGCCAUGCUUCAUCUGCCAGGGCAUAGUGUCCAGGGCAAGCUACAGUAUGGGCGAUGACUAGUUGCGCCACAUCUGGUGGGCUGGCAAGCACAGCCAAUCCACUGCCAAGCUUCGCUCUUCUGAUUUUAAUCACUUCAGCGUUAACACUGACGAUGGUCAUUCCGUUGUGGGGAAGGAAGAGGGAGGUGCUUACGCUUGCCAAACAUCUCUGCUCUCCACCCUUAUUAUGAAACUGCUCUUCGGAAUUCCCCUCCCCUUGCGCUUCUCUGACAUCAAAUGAAUGUCUUGCGGUUCCAAAUAAGCAACCACGCGUGUGAUGCCCGGUCCCAAGAU